GUGAUUCUUAGACCGUCGCAGACUAACUAAAGCGAAAGCAUUUGCCAAGGAUGUUUUCAUUAAUCAAGAACGAAAGUUAGAGGAUCGAAGGCGAUUAGAUACCGCCCUAGUUCUAACUGUAAACUAUGACAGCCAGCAAUUGGAUGUCGCUACUAUUAUGGCGGAUUUCGUUACUUUCGGGGAACCCCAACUAGUUUCCGGGGGAAAAAUAGGUGCGCAGUUGAAACUUAUAGGAGAUGUGGGAGGAUCCCACCCCAGCGUGGAAAUUGGCGCCUUAUUUUACUUCAACCGGGGAA
rnacentral:rRNA from 1 species